GACGAACGCUGGCGGCGUGCCUAAUACAUGCAAGUCGAGCGGAAGUUGGAGAGCUUGCUCUUCAACUUUAGCGGCGGACGGGUGAGUAACACGUGGGCAACCUGCCCUGCAGAUCGGGAUAACUCCGGGAAACCGGUGCUAAUACCGAAUAGUUUUCGCCACCUCCUGGUGGCGUACGGAAAGACGGUUUCGGCUGUCACUGCAGGAUGGGCCCGCGGCGCAUUAGCUAGUUGGUGGGGUAACGGCCCACCAAGGCGACGAUGCGUAGCCGACCUGAGAGGGUGAUCGGCCACACUGGGACUGAGACACGGCCCAGAAUCCUACGGGAGGCAGCAGUAGGGAAUCUUCCGCAAUGGACGAAAGUCUGACGGAGCAACGCCGCGUGAGUGACGAAGGUUUUCGGAUCGUAAAACUCUGUUGUAAGGGAAGAACAAGUACGUUAGGAAAUGAACGUACCUUGACGGUACCUUAUUAGAAAGCCACGGCUAACUACGUGCCAGCCGCCGCCGUAA
rnacentral:rRNA from 1 species